UACGAAGGGGGCUAGCGUUGCUCGGAAUUACUGGGCGUAAAGGGAGCGUAGGCGGACAUUUAAGCCAGAGGUGAAAUCCCGGAGCUUAACUUCGGAACUGCCUUUGAUACUGGAUGUCUUGAGUGUGAGAGAGGUAUGUGGAACUCCGAGUGUAGAGGUGAAAUUCGUAGAUAUUCGGAAGAACACCAGUGGCGAAGGCGACAUACUGGCUCAUUACUGACGCUGAGGCUCGAAAGCGUGGGGAGCAAACAGG
rnacentral:rRNA from 1 species